GGAUGUGCAUCUCGGGGGCUCCCCCUGUUGGUGCUUAACCCUUCCCGGUUUACCGGAUAGUCUGAUAGGGCCAAUGCCUAAAGCCAAUACCGCUCUUACCUGUAAUCAAUAAAGUUGUGGCCAUUUACGCCCAUUAACCUAAAUUCUGGUGUCCAGUGUCUUUAUUUCAUCUGGAGGAGGGGGCGGGAAUCGCCACGCAAUUAAUUUUGCUUUUUGGUCUGAAUAUAUGGCUUGAAUUCCUUUCCUAAAUUUAUCUCCAAAUUUCAUUUCUUGAAAAUUUUCACCAUGAAUUCCCAAGAGACAUUAUCGAAGGGUUUUUCCGCAUCUAUGAACAUCAGUGCUGCUUCUUUUUCAUUUCUCAAUUCCAGGUAUUCUAUGAUGUCAAUAAUAUUCCUAAUAUUAUCCUUCAUUUGUCUUCCUGGAAGGAAUACGGCCUGAUCUUGAUGUAUAUAAUCUUUCAGUACUAAUUUCAUCCUAUAGGCCAUUAUGUUAGUAAAUAGUUUAUAAUCAUUAUUUAAUAAUGAAAUCGGUCUAUAAUUAUUAACUGCUAACACAUCAGCCUCUUGUUUUGGAAUUAAAGUUAUAUAUGCCUCUUUCUAUGUCUCUGGGGCUUUCCCUGAAGUUAAGAUUUCAUUCAUUAUCUCCUGUAAUGGUUUCAACAAUUUAUUGUUCAAUUUCUUAUAUUAUUUUGCUUUUAAUCCGUCUGGUCCUGUCGAUUUCUCUAUUUUUGCUAAGUUGAUUGCAUCUAGUAUUUCCUGUAUAGUUAUGUUGGCAUUUAAAAUUGUUAAUUUCUCUUCUGCUAUCCUUGGCAGAGUACUACCCUUCAGGUAUCGAUCUAUAUCUUUACUUUUUUCUCUUCCUUUUGUAUAUAGUUCUGUAAAAUAUUUAACAAAAGCCUUCCUAAUUUCUUAGGGGUUGUCUAUAAUUUUGUCAUUUAAUUUUAUUUUCUUUAUAAAUUUUUUUGCUCAUUUUUAUUUAACUGCCAUGCUAAUAAUUUCCCUGGUUUGUUUGCAUACUCAAAAUAUUUCUGUUUCAUUCUUUUUAUCUUCCACUCUAUUUCUUGGUUAAUAAUCAUUGAAUAUUGUGUUUGUAACAAUUUUAUUGCUUGUUUUAUGGACUCUUUAUUUGGUCUGUUUAUUAGCUAUCUUUCAUUUUUCAUUAAUGCCUCUAAAAUCUCCCUUUUCUUUUUCUCUCUCUGUUUUCUUCUGUACGUGUUUUGCUGAAUAAAUAGACCAUUCACGAUCGCUUUACUGGCAUCCCAUACUACUUGAAUUUUGGUGUCUGUCAGGACUGGUCGUUGUCCUCUUCAGAUCACCACACAAACGCUUCUUGUUCUUUUAUAACUUUUUAUUGCGUAUUAACAAAACAAUCUUAUAAACGGUUCUUAAAUAUUAUUCCUCAGAGUCACUUAUUUCAGAUACCUUCUGAGCUCUGCUUCUCCAUGACCAGCCACUCUCAAAAUGUCGAAUGCGCCCUUCCCUUCACUUUCCCGCUCUUUUUUCUAACCUCCUGGCUAGAGCUGGCCUGUAUCUCCCCUCCUCCGAAUCUGAGCUAGAACUUAACCCUUGCCUUUCCUGUGAACAGCUGGUUCCUCCCUGUUGUUCUCUUCUAUUAGAUUCACUGCUCUCCUUCCCCCCUUGGGGAAUGCUUUCUCCCUCUGAGAAACUGGAAACUUCUAACUCUUCCCUGACAGUGUCUUUGUUAAGAUUUAGAUCAAAAUAAUCUUCUAAGGUUUUUUGUGCUUUUUCAAAAAAAUUUAGAUCCUCUAACAAGUCCUCAUUUUAUCUCCAACUAAAAGUGGAUUGAAUUUCAUCUUGCAUUUCCAAAAAUACAGGGCUAUGAUCUGAUAUUGUUCUUGGGAUAAUCUGUAUUUUCCUUACCCUCAACUCUAAUUCUUUAGACACCCAUAUCACAGUGAUUCUUGCACUUUUCCCAUGUACAUUAAAGUGAAAUGUGAAUUCUCAUUGUAGCUGUUCUAAGGGUGUGGAUAUAGCACCCAAGUGAGUUGCAGGACUUCAUCAAGACAGAAUAGUUUACUUUUUGCAGGUUUAUUUUGGCUAGAAGAGGUUCCAACUCAAAUACCCUGCUGCUCUGAGAAGCUUAUCAGAAUCAAACUAUUUCCUUAACCCCCAGCCAAUAUUGAUACACAAUAGGUAUUUAAUGCAAAUAUAUCUACAGGUGGUGCUUUCUUGUAGUGGCACCUUCUCUUGUCUUUCACCUUUCCUGAAUUCUCAUUGUAUCUGUUAGGGUGCUCACUGGAAGGACAGAUCCUGAAGCUGAGGCUCCAAUAUUUUGGGCACCUCAUGAGAAGAGAAGACUCCCUGGAAAAGACCCUGAUGUUGGGAAAGAUGGAGGGCACAAGGAGAAGGGGACAGAGGAUGAGAUGGUUGGACAGUGUUCUUGAAGCUACCAGCAUGAGUUUGACCAAACUGCGGGAGGCAGUGGAACACAAGAGUGCCUGGCAUGCUCUGGUCCAUGGGGUCACAAAGAGUUGGACACAACCAGAUGACUAAAUGACAACAACAGAAUAUCCAAGUGUGUUGCUGUACACUGUGGAGGCAGAGGAGA
rnacentral:lncRNA from 1 species